AUACUGGCAACAUUUUGAUAUGUAGCUCUACUAAAGCGAGAAGGAGCAGAAGAGUUAUGAGACCAACGCUACAAAAUGUAGAGGAUAGGAAAAGAGAAUAUGCACACACAACGUGGAGCCGAGUGACAAUGGAGCUGUGAUAGUCUUUGUGUAGCAACACAUUGGAGAAGAUCUGAACAUUACCGAUUUCUUUUCGGGUGAUUUUUUCCUAUGGUCAUAUGAGCAUUCUGAACCUGGAACGAAUCCUCCAUUAUCCAGCAUGUCUAUCAAUGCUCCCUCUCAAUGGAGAGGAGAGGUCUUCAUAGUACCCAGGAGGCUCACGCAAAGUAGGCUCCUGAUCAAUGGAGUUGGCUCUCACGGCUGGCCUAGGGCGAUCACCUCUGCUGUUCCAAAGUUUUGUGAUAUCUUCUCACAGUGUCAAGCAGACGUAUGCACCUGCUCUGUGACUUCAAGGCUUCCAUGAAUGCAUGUACAUUAUACAAGGUGUAACCUGAAGCAGGUGUACUGGUCAAAGAUAAGUCCUUUGAUUUGUUGAGCCACAUAUGACAUAUCUCCAUCUCCUAUGCUUAUAUAUUAGAAAGCUUUCAUUCCCUUAGUGUAUAGUGUCCUCUUAUGGUAUCCUGAUGUUUUUCUACUACUUUGAUGGAUACAAUUGGAAAUGGUGUAUAAUGUACAUGGUUCAAAAUGUAAUUAGUCUACAUGUCAAAAUAAUUCAAUAGAGAUGGAGUAAUGUAAUUAUCUUGUCACAAUAAAUAACUAUGAAGCUCUUAGUUUGCAGAGUAAUCUUAAUGGGCCCAAAAUUCUUGGCCGGAUCAGGUUCGUAGGAGAAAUAAUGUAGCAAACUUGGAUUAGUAAUACUUGAAGUUUUUUUUCAUGAUAUAAUGUUGGAGUUAUAUAUUUCCUGUUGUUCCAUUUUCACUAUGCCUCAAAUGCACUAUAUUUCCAAAUCCAAUGAGGUCAUUCGCCCUAAUCAAUUGCCAUUCUUGACAUGACUUCAGGUGCAGAAAUUUGUGAUAAUUGACGGCCAUUUUCAACAAAGUCUCUAAUUAUUGAUUGAUCUCUAACAAUCAUUUCAUAUGUAUCUUGAAAAGAGAGCUUACUAGAUCUACCAAUGAUUUAUUGUAAGAUCUAGGAAUAAUACAAGUGUAUCAGGUCGAACAGGGUUUGCAUGUUCAGGGCCUGUUCGUUUUUACAUGUUUGAGAAAUUAACAAGUAAUGUAAACUUCAGGUUAUCAAAACAACAUGAAUAAAAAAGAGGGGUGUGUUGUCCA